rnacentral:rRNA from 1 species
UAAACUAUGAGUUUGAUCCUGGCUCAGGAAGAACGCUAGUAACAUACUUAACACAUGCAAGUCGAACGCAGAUUAACUAAUCUGAGUGGCGUACGGGCGAGUAAUAUAUAGGAACUUAUCUUCUAGACCCAGCCAAGUUAAAGGUAAGAUUAUCUUUAAUGAAUGCGGGAUUAAAAAGAUUAAUAUCGCUAGUGGAGAGGCCUAUACAAGAUUAGGUAGUUGGUAAGGUAAUUGCUUACCAAGCCUAUGAUCUUUAGCUGAUUUGAGAGAAUGAUCAGCCGCACUGGAACUGGAAUACGGUCCAGACUCAAUUUUGAGGCUGCAGUGGGGAAUAUUAGACAAUGGACGAAAGUUUGAUCUAGUAAUGUUACGUGUUUGAUGAAUCCUAUUUUGGUGUAAAAUUCUUUGGUCGAUUAUGAUAAUGACAUUAAACGACUAAAAAGCCCCGGCUAACUCUGUGCCAGCAGCCGCGGUAAUACAGAGGGGGCAAGUGUUUUCCGGAAUGACUGGGCGUAAAGGGUGUGUAGGCGGCUAGGAAAGUUAGAGGUGAAAUCCCAUUCUUACAUAUUGGAAGUGCCUUUAAUACUAUCUAGCUAGAGUAAUAUAGAGGAUAGUGGAAUGUGUAGUGGAAAGAUAAAAUUUGAUGAUAUUACAUGGAACAUCUAUUGCGAAAGCAGCUAUCUAGUUAUUUAACUGACGCUGAUUACACGAAAGCGUGGGGAGCAAAAGGGAUUAGAUACCCCAGUAGUCCACGCCGUAAAUGAUGAGUGCUUCGUAUUAGGUAAUAUUUACUUAGUAUGUCAGCUAACGCGUUAAGCACUCCGCCUGGGGAGUACGAUCGCAAGAUUAAAACUCAAAAGAAUUGACGGGGAUCCACACAAACGGUGGAGCAUGUGAUUUAAUUCGAUACAACGCGCAAAACCUUACCAGUCUUUGAAUCAUGGUGUGGUUAGUCUUUUAAUAGAGAUUAAUUUAUUCAUGACAGGUGUUGCAUGGCCGUCUAAAGCUCGUGUCGUGAGAUGUUUGGUUAGGUCCAAUAACGAGCGAAAUCCUUGUACUUAAUUAAUUAUUAGGUAAACCGCUAUUGAUAAAAUAGAGGAAGGAAAGGAGGACGUCAGGCCUUUAUGACCCUUAUGGGCUGGGCUAUACAUGUGCUACAAUGGUAACCACAAAAAGAAGCAAUAAUGAGAGUUGGAGCAAAUCUAUAAAAGUUAUCUUAGUUCGGAUUGUUCUCUGAAACUCGAGAACAUGAAGUUGGAAUCGUUAGUAAUCGUAAAUCAGCACGUUACGGUGAAAUAGUUCCUGGAUCUUGUACAUACCGCCCGUCACACCCUGAAAACCUUAAUUUACCGAAAAUGUUGCAGUUCAGCUAGUACUAUAUUUUAAAGUGCUAUUGUUUAUAAUAGUAUAUUCGUAUAGAAUUAGUUGAGAGAUAGCAUUCACGUUAAUUGGGUAAUUGUGGUAAAGUCGUAACAAGGUAGCCGUAGGGGAAUCUGUGGCUGGAUUAUAUUUAUU